rnacentral:lncRNA from 1 species
UCUUUAGUAUUCAUGAAGAGAAUUAUUUUCUUUCAAUACUCGUAAGGGUUGUUAUUCCAUUCUUUAUUAUUAUGUUGGAAUAACCUGUCUAUGCGAAGUACCGCAUACAUGGUGAAAUUCUUUUGUUAUUAUAUUCUUUAUUAUUAUGUUGGAAUAACCUGUCUGUGCAGUCUAUCGCAUGCCUGGUGAAUUCUGUUGUUAUUCCAUUCUUUAUUAUUCUGUUGGAAUAUCCUG